ACUCCCUAUUUUGAUAUUAGACCUAAUCCCUAAAACCAGAGGAGCACUCCGAACCUAGAUCCUCCUUUGAGGGGCCCCCUCUCUCGUUUUCUGUCUCACCUCAUCGCUGGCGAGCUCAGCCAAAAACCGGCGAUGGCUACUGCUCCUCCUCCUCCGACGUCUUCCCCAUUCUUUGUUACUGCUGCGACGUAAGGUGGCGGAUCUGGCCGGAAAUCCGAAUUUAAAAGCUAUGGAGUUUCAAUUAAGGUUUCAUGCGUCGUUGAAUUGAGGUUGUCGUCGAGGUACCCGGUUCGAGCUUUCCAUUUAGUUGGUGGUUCGGGUAGUAUUUGAGUUAUAUCGGUACUCUCUUCCUCGAUGUAUUCAGAGAAAUUCAAUAUUUAAACAAAUUUCAAAGCUUCUGUUCAUUUAAAGCUCCGGUGGCGGUCCGAUUUGUAGCUGUAUACGUAAGAAACCAUGUGGUCUGUUGCUCAUUUUAAGUUAACAUACUCAUUCAUGGGGAUUCAUUUUAACCAGAAAAGUUUCAUUCUCGAGGGGCGCUGCAUCUUUAAUGGAUGCAUGUGGUUCCACAGCAGGCGGCAUCGAUCAGUGAUAGCGGUACACCCUCUUCUCAGCUGACUUGGUGAGCCCCACUUCAUAUCGGGAUCUUGUAUAUUUUGUUUCUUAUGGAUAGUGUUGUGAUUUAAGCCGGUGUCUUAUUUCUAGAACAAUCAUAUUAGUCUUUUCUAUAAAUUAGAGGAUCUGUAGACAUAGUGUGGGUUGUACCUUGAUUUGGAAUGUCAAACUAGAAAUGUUGUAUAUGUAUCACAUGUUUCCACUUCUA